rnacentral:rRNA from 1 species
GACGGAGGAGGCAAGCGUUAUCCGGAAUUAUUGGGCGUAAAGGGUACGUAGGCGGCUGGUCAAGUCUGGGGUCAAAGGCCACAGCUCAACUGUGGGAAGGCCCUGGAAACUGACCGGCUAGAGUGAGGUAGGUGUUGCGGGAAUUCCCGGUGUAGCGGUGAAAUGCGUAGAGAUCGGUAAGAACACCUGAGGCGUAAGCGCGCAACUGGGCCUCAACUGACGCUGAUGUACGAAAGCUAGGGGAGCGAAUGGG